rnacentral:rRNA from 1 species
GACGAACGCUGGCGGCGUGCCUAAUACAUGCAAGUCGAACGCAGUGGGGACGGGUGAGUAACAAGUGGGUAACCUCCCAUCAGAGGGGAUAACACUUGGAAACAGGUGCUAAACCGAUACUGAUGGAUGAACUCGCGGUGCAUUAGCUAGUUGGUGAGGUAACGGCUCACCAAGGCCACGAUGCAUAGCCUACCGGAGAGGGUGAUCAGCCACACUGCGACGGAGCCAAGACCCAGACUCCUACGGGAGGGAGGAGUAGGGAAUCUUAGGCAAUGGACGAAAGUCUGACCGAGAAAAGCCGCGUAGGUGAAGAAGGUUUUCGGAUCGUAAAACUCUGUUGUUAUAGUAGCGGUAUCUAACCAGAAAGCCACGGCUAACUCCGUGCCAGCAGCCGCGGUAAUAC